CCUACGGGGCGCAGCAGUGAGGAAUAUUGGUCAAUGGACGAGAGUCUGAACCAGCCAAGUAGCGUGAAGGAUGACUGCCCUAUGGGUUGUAAACUUCUUUUAUAUGGGAAUAAAACGUUCCACGUGUGGGAUUUUGUAUGUACCAUAUGAAUAAGGAUCGGCUAACUCCGUGCCAGCAGCCGCGGUAAUACGGAGGAUCCGAGCGUUAUCCGGAUUUAUUGGGUUUAAAGGGAGCGUAGGUGGAUUGUUAAGUCAGUUGUGAAAGUUUGCGGCUCAACCGUAAAAUUGCAGUUGAAACUGGCAGUCUUGAGUACAGUAGAGGUGGGCGGAAUUCGUGGUGUAGCGGUGAAAUGCUUAGAGAUCACGAAGAACUCCGAUUGCGAAGGCAGUUCACUGGACUGCAACUGACACUGAGGCUCGAAAGUGUGGGUAUCAAACAGGAUUAGAUACCCUAGUAGUC
rnacentral:rRNA from 1 species